rnacentral:lncRNA from 1 species
GUGUUAGUGGAGAUAAUUAAACUCCUUUGACCACAUCUCACUAAAAUAAAAGUACUGAUGACUUUUUUUCAGUGUAAAGAGAAGACUUUUCCCCUUGUGGUUAUGAUUUUAAGAAUAGGUAAGGCCUUUUCUUAUCUGUUAAAGUCUUAAAAAUUGCAAGUGGCAAAUCCAUCAACCAUAUGUGUGGAGUAGCUUCAGAGAUGCCCGUAUUUGCUUAAAGCAAUUUAUUUUCUUAGAAACUUUGCAGAUCAUUAGGGAUUCUACAACUAGUCCUGAAAUCUUUCACUGAAUUUAGUUAGGACUUCUGGUACCAGGCAGAAGUCUGCCCAAUUUUUGCUGAGGUUAGAGGGUUGAAAACAUCACACAGAAGCACAGAGGGAAAACAUCUGAAACAGGAAAGGGACAAUGAGCCUAAGGUGCUGAGGCCAGAAAGGCCAGUGAUGUCUUCUCUUCAACUCUAUAUACUGUGGAAACAAUGUAACAAAGAUCAUAGUCUUAUGGAUGAACAUAAAGCCUUCCUUAUUGCAACAUCUGCCUUAUACAGAGGACAGUGAAUUUAAAACAAACAAAGAAACAAAAACCCAAAAUAUUUACUAUUACCAUGUGAAUCAUGGUGGGGGAAGGGAAGCAUGUCUAUGCUUUAGUGCAUGCAUGGAGGUUGGUAGUUGGUUUUCUCUUUCCGCUGUGGAGAGUGAGGCUCAAGUGCUGGCUUUCCUGAUAGGCACUCUUACCGACUAAACUGCAAUGCUGGUCCGCACUCAAAAUGUAUUACCCAUUCUUUUGCUAACUUGAAGAUGCUCCCUGAAGUCCUUCAAAAUCCCAAUGGCUGCUUCUCCCACCUCUCUCUCUCUCUCUCUCUCUCUCUCUCUCUCUCUCUCAUCUAUCUAUCUAUCUAUCUAUCUGUCUAUCAUCUGUCGAUCUAUCGAUCUAUCUAUCGAUCUAUGAAUUGAUAUGUGUAUUUAGUGGAAGUCUCAGAGUCUCUUAUAUGUCUCCUUUUUUUGAAAGUGACCACUUUGAAGAUAAGGAAGUGAGUGUCAAUGACACUACAAAGAAACUACUCAGUACAGUGAGGAUGAUGCCAAUAUGUGGAAGAAGCGGAAGAACUCCCCUUUUUGUUGUCAGGA